UAAGGACAAAAUAAGCCUCUUGAUUUGCUAUAAACAUUUGCUAAUAGUUCUGCUUGACUUUAAUGCAAACAUUGGAAAAUAGACAAAUAACCACAGGAUUCUUUGGAAAAAUAUAGGUUCAGGCUAAAUUAAAGCACUUGGCUAUGUUUUUGUAUCUUAAUGUGUAUGUGAGAAAGGUUCAGAGUUCUUUGGCAGAACUCUACUAAAUUCUACUCUUGAUAAGCCUUCAUACUCCCUUCUUACACUUAAGGCUCUACUUGCAUAGAAACUUUGAAAACAGAUCCAAGUUAGUGGAUAUCUUAAACUAAUUCAGUCAACUGAAGCAAAGAUUAUAGAGUUCAUGUCAUAAUCAUGGCGUGCUUUAAACCAGUCAUUGUAUUGCUGAUAAACCUUAAUAGCAUAAGCAGUAAAGAGCUGCCUAAAUAAACAAAUCUGUUAUUGUUUAAAAAGCACAAGUAGUUCUUAGCACUGGAGCAUGCCAGGAUGAUGUAAGAAGUUGCUCUGAUAUAUUCUUCACGCCAGACUGAAUCAUCACGUUUUGUGACUGAAGUCUGUCUACACCAGUGUUCCUUAGUUCCUGGAGCUCACUCUGGACUAAGCUCGAGCUUAAACACAUCUCUGUGGAGGUCGGUAGUUAAGACUGUCACACAGUUUAACUAAUUUGAGUACUCCUUGCUUUCUUAAAACCCAAUUCUCUUUGAAUGUUGGACACAUUAAACAUGAAGCUCUUCAUUAGUUCACUUCGAAAAGCAUUUGACUUUUUCUACAUGAGAAUAUCUGACUAUUAAAAAAGGAAAUAACCAAGGUAUGCUCAGGUAGAAAUAAAAAGCCACAUGCUUUUCUGUGUCCAAGACUUCUGAAAUAGGAGUUGACUCUGUGCAAAUGCUACUUGGCCCCAAAAAUUUAAUGUACGAGGGUUAGAAGACAAUAUUAUAGGCUCUUACUCACUAAUCAUAUCUCUAGGGAGACAACGUGAUAGCAUCCCAGAACUUUUUUGCUGUUACGACCAGUAAGAAAAUAUGUCCACUAAAACAACAACGAAAUGAUUUUGCUGCCACUCUGCAGGCUUUGCUACAACAAACACACAUCUCCAUGGUGGGGCUCAGGGUUUGGAGUUUAUUUUCAGUGUGAGUUCAGUAAUGGCAGGCGGGAAUUGAUUUUUCAACUCAAGAGGAGUAUUCAGUUAACCAUGGUCUUGAACUAGGUUUUAGGCAUUAUUCAUACCAAGAAUUUCAGUGAAAUCAAGUCAAAAUACUUCACUCUACAAGUACAACCUAGAGUAAAUAAAAUGAUUUAAAAAUAAUGUGAAAUGCCAUAGUCUGAUGAAAUAGAGUUUGUGACCUUGUGGUAACUGGACUUACACGGCUAUGUCCAUUAGAAAUGUCUGAUGACAAUUUCCAAUAAGACAAGUCCUUUUCUUUCCCUGACAGUGUAAGAAAGGAUUUUUGGGGGGGUAGCAAAUUAUUUAUGCAAAGCUAUUUUCCUUACAGUGAAAGGUAUUAAGUAGGUAUAAUGAUAUUCAACUCAAACUAAUUUUGAGCUUUACAUAUAGAUAAAAAUGUAUAGCUAUACAGGUAAAGUCAUCAUUGUAAGAGUCUUUCUGAUUGUAGGACUUUGAAUAUUUGUUACUUGUAGGGAUAAAAAUCUAUUUGAGGACUCACAUCAUGAUGAGAAUUAGCUCCACAAAUAGAAAAAGCAACACUACAUAAACCUGACAGUAAAAGAAAUGCAGGCCAUGAACUGAUUUUUUUCUUUUUUUUUUAAUAUCUAUAUAAAAAAUAACGAGCAAUUUACAGGUCUCUUUCUCUAAUCAGAACCUCAAGUGUAUAUAUAAAGGUACUGUACAAUAUAUAAACAUUUACAACCAGUACAUCCAUAUUUUGCUUAGCAUUCCAAGGCCACAUUGCUAAGUCAGUACAGAAUCAGUACAGUGACAGGUUACUUAGAAAGGAAAGAGCCACAUCAGACUGACAACAGAUGACAUCAAAGUUAUGUCGCAGUUAACAAUAAAAAUUGGAUUUUUAUCACUAAUUGUGGACUAUAGGGAAAAUAAAUCAUUUCUGUGAUACUAAAUUCUUAGCAUUUAUCAAGCCUUCUAAUUCUUCUCUAUUCAAGUAGUUACAAUAGGUGGGUAAAUAUAGUUCUGGAUGAAAAGGGGAUUUCAGAAAUCUCACUCUGGGAAGCAUGUCUUAUCUACAGGGGCUGAUUUAGUUGUUAUAUUAAAGAAUUUCACAGUCAGACUCUGAGAGGGAAGGACCUGGACAUGAUGUGUUUCACAAUAACAAGAUGAACCCAGGGUGACAGAACAAGUGUGUUCAAAUACUCCAGAAAAUGGUUUUAUUCUGAGAAUGUUCCUUUAUUUAUAGAUGCUACUGAAUGCUGCUUCCGGGGGCUGAGAAACCCGGAUCUAUUUUAUGGAGCUAAAAACUGUCUCCACCUUCCAACAAACAAACAUCUUUAAUUAGACUUUAAAAAAGAAUUCUGAAAAUCUGUACAAGCUAAGCAGAUGUUUACUCUCCCUUUCUUGUUUGUAAAUAAGUUAAUGUAGCUAGAUAUUAAAAUUAAAUAAGAUCUAGCAAGGACUGUCUACCACGUUUGUUCUCACUUGCUUGUGAGCCGGUCUCACACAGGUUCUGCUUCUCAACAUUCGAACUUGUAUAGCUGCUGCCAGAUGAGUUGGUACCUCAUCUGGCAAUGGACCGUGAAACUGGUUUCAUGAUUAAGUCCCUCUUCAAAUAUGUAUUAUGUAUUAAUGACUAAUGACUUAGUAGUUGGUUCAACCAAGAUAUCCAGAAAUAGAAAUUUGGUAGUUUUUCUUCAAAUAGCAAUAAGCAAUAUUUCCACAUGCUUCUUUGUGGUUUCAUAAUAAAAUAAAUGAAAUAAAAGGGUGAUCUGAGACGCUAUAACACAUUAGGGUUGGAUAACACAGCAGGAGGUGAGCUCUUAAUCGACUGAAGUGCUUUCUCAUUUGAACAUUCAUUUGUAAAUAACAUCUUUUUAACAGUUAUUUGAAAUACCUUAUCCGGCCAAAUUAAAAUAAACAGCCAUAAGAAAGUCAAUAUUUGACUGCAUUUUUUUUUUUUCUUUCCAGGAGUGAUGUUUGAGAGUUUUAUUUUUAAACGGGGACCAUCAGUAAGCUGUUAGGAGGGGCAACUGCCAUCUAUAAUGAUGAGUUAACAAUCUCUUCUUCUGCAAGGGCUCAAAUAUUUCUCUCUGUGAACAUGCAACAUGCUAUUGAGAAUAUCAACUUCCAAGCCAAACCUAGUUUUUUCAUUACUGUGGAAAUAUCUGAGUGAGAAGGAUAAAAUAGACAUGAUACAGUAGAUAACUUGGCACAAAGAUAAAGUGAGUUGUGACCACGUUGUGAAUAUCAACAUGUCAUUUGUUCAGACACUCAUGAAGACGAGCUGGGCGGCCUGAGCCGGGCGUGUCCGAUGAGGGUGUGGGUGCGGCUCCUUCCUGAGCGCAAGGCGUGCAGCCAGCCAGGGGGACAGUGGGUUCUUAGCAAUCCUGCAGGCCCCUCAUGCAGCCUAGGUCACAGUCGCUUCUCGGCCACCCCAGUAGUGCCUGUGGCUCUACUUGCACUUGGCACCUUCCAAGGCCCUGGAGUUAUUGGUGUUUUCUUAGCUGGAGAACCGCUUUCAGGCACCAUGUCCCUUAAUUCUUCUGCCUUUUCACAUAUCUGAACUCUCAUCAAAGAUUCUUCAAUUACUGGCACACGAGACUCUUCAAAUAUGGAAGCAGAAUGUGAAGAUGGGUGAAAUGGUGACUGU